rnacentral:rRNA from 1 species
AUUGAACGCUGGCGGCAGGCCUAACACAUGCAAGUCGAACGAGUGGCGGACGGGUGAGUAAUGUCUGGGAAACUGCCUGAUGGAGGGGGAUAACUACUGGAAACGGUAGCUAAUACCGCAUACCAUCAGAGGUGCCCAGAUGGGAUUAGCUAGUUGGGGGGGUAAGGGCUCACCAGGGCGACGAUCCCUAGCUGGUCUGACAGGAUGACCAGCCACACGGGAACUGGGCCACGGUCCAGACUCGUACGGGAGGCAGCAGUGGGGAAUAUUUCACAAUGGGCGCAAGCCGGGUGCAGCCAUGCAGCGUGUAUGAAGAAGGCCUUCGGGUUGUAAAGUACUUUCAGCGGGGAGGCGUUACCCGCAGAAGAAGCACCGGCUAACUCCGUGCCAGCAGCCGCGGUAAUUC